rnacentral:rRNA from 1 species
ACACGAAGGUGGCAAGCGUUGCUCGGAAUUACUGGGCGUAAAGAGCACGUAGGCGGUGAUAUAAGUCGGAAGUGAAAGCCCCCGGCUCGACCGGGGAAUUGCUUUCGAUACUGUAUCACUAGUCGGUCGGCGGGGAGAAUGGAAUGCUCGGUGGAGCGGUGAAAUGCAUAGAUAUCGGGUGGAACGCCGGUGGCGAAGGCGGUUCUCUAGCCGAUUAGAGACGCUGAGGUGCGAAAGCGUGGGGAGCAAACAGGAUUAGAAACCCUAGUAGUCC